rnacentral:lncRNA from 1 species
CACAUGUGACUUCCAGAUCCUCCUUGAAAGGAGUCAAGGGAAGAUGAAAAAUUUUGCUUCUUUCAACCAUAAAUACUAGUUUCUUUACCCCACCACGAGAUUCUAUUAUUUGAGAGUAAUUUCUGCAUGCAUCCUCUGAAAUCCUUAAAGCCCCUUACUAAAGUUCAGUUUCUCCCCUUUUCAUCUCCCUACCAAAGUUGUGGAUACCCAAUCUCGAAUCAGAGAGGGAUAAGAAUUGCCUGGAGUCACACAGCAUCUGGCGGUUCCACGAUCCCUCAGUGUUUCUACCUGUUUGCUUGUUUGUUUUUUCCCAUUUGUGUCCUAUCUGGCUGAAGGCCCAGCUGCUGCUGCAGUCUCACUCUCUGUGGGAGGUCACAAGCCACCAGCCAUCAGUCCAGUAAGGAAGUAUUCUGUACACAUCUAGCUGCAGCUGGCAUAGAGCUCAGGGGCAGCUGUCCAUCAAGAAGGUGACAAGGGUGGGAGAGGUGCAAACACCAUGCAUGUCACUGUCCCAUCGAGUCACUGCCAGCUCAGAAGGACUUGAGGGAUCUGUGCUACUGGCCCCCCAACACCUGCCUGUGUCUCUUCCUGUACUCUAUCAGCAGGAGACGGCCGUGUCAUCCCCUGUUGCACAGUUGAGGG